rnacentral:rRNA from 1 species
CCCCUAGUAACUGCGAGUGAAGCGGGAAAAGCUCAAAUUUAAAAUCUGGCGGUCUUUGGCUGUCCGAGUUGUAAUCUAGAGAAGUGUUAUCCGCGUUGGACCGUGUACAAGUCUCCUGGAAUGGAGCGUCGUAGAGGGUGAGAAUCCCGUCUUUGACACGGACUGCCAAGGCUUUGUGAUGCGCUCUCGAAGAGUCGAGUUGUUUGGGAAUGCAGCUCAAAAUGGGUGGUAAAUUCCAUCUAAAGCUAAAUAUUGGCGAGAGACCGAUAGCGAACAAGUACCGUGAGGGAAAGAUGAAAAGAACUUUGGAAAGAGAGUUAAACAGUACGUGAAAUUGCUGAAAGGGAAACGCUUGAAGUCAGUCGCGUUGUCCAGGGAUCAACCUUGCUUUUGCUUGGUGCACUUUCUGGUUGACGGGUCAGCAUCAAUUUUGACUAUUGGAAAAAGAUUAGGGGAAUGUGGCAUCCUCGGAUGUGUUAUAGCCCUUGGUUGUAUACAAUGGUUGGGAUUGAGGAACUCAGCACGCCGCAAGGCCGGGUUUUUAACCACGUACGUGCUUAGGAUGCUGGCAUAAUGGCUUUAAUCGACCCGUCUUGAAACACGGACCAAGGAGUCUAACAUGCCUGCGAGUGUUUGGGUGGAAAACCCGAGCGCGUAAUGAAAGUGAAAGUUGAGAUCCCUGUCGUGGGGAGCAUCGACGCCCGGACCAGACCUUUUGUGACGGUUCCGCGGUAGAGCAUGUAUGUUGGGACCCGAAAGAUGGUGAACUAUGCCUGAAUAGGGUGAAGCCAGAGGAAACUCUGGUGGAGGCUCGUAGCGAUUCUGACGUGCA